UAGUCCACGCCCUAAACGAUGUAUGCUAGACGUCGGGAGACUUGUCUUUCGGUGUCGCCGCUAACGCAUUAAGCAUACCGCCUGGGGAGUACGGUCGCAAGAUUAAAACUCAAAUGAAUUGACGGGGGCCCGCACAAGCGGUGGAGCAUGUGGUUUAAUUCGAUGCAACGCGAAGAACCUUACCUACUCUUGACAUCCAGAGAACUUUCCAGAGAUGGAUUGGUGCCUUCGGGAACUCUGAGACAGGUGCUGCAUGGCUGUCGUCAGCUCGUGUUGUGAAAUGUUGGGUUAAGUCCCGCAACGAGCGCAACCCUUAUCCUUGUUUGCCAGCGAGUAAUGUCGGGAACUCCAGGGAGACUGCCGGUGAUAAACCGGAGGAAGGUGGGGAUGACGUCAAAUCAUCACGGGCCCUUACGUCCUGGGGCCACACACGUGCUACAAUGGCCAGUACAGAGAGCAGCCACUUAGUGAUAAGG
rnacentral:rRNA from 1 species